ensembl:lncRNA
CUGGAGUAUUCUUCUCAAGGAACACUGGUUUCCACAGGAUCCACACAGGAAGUAUACAUGGCUGCUAAGACCCCACAGGAAGCACCUCUGCUUGAGAGUUAUUCAGAGGGAGGGCCGGUGUUUGAGUUACCCCCAGCGGAAGUGUUUACUCCCGAAGGUUCCCCUCAGGGAGCAUCAUCCAAUCAUAGAACACCCAUGCCUAAGUUGUUUACCCUAGGAACAUCUGUACCCGUCUUAUCCACAAAGAAAAACCAGCUACAUAAGUGUCAAGCCUUCUUGAGACAGAGAAAAUGCUUGUCUGUCAAGACUGCACAGAAAUCUCCUGUGCCCGAGUCUUCCUCUCAGGGAGCACCUGUGACUGAAUGUUUCCCACAGAAAGAACCCAUUCUUGAGUGUUACCCAGAGGAAGGACCCAUGAUUGUGUAUUCCCUGGAGGAAGAACCCAUGCUUGUGUGUUCCAUAGAUGAAGAACCCAUGCUUGUGUGUUCCCCAGAGGAAGAAUCUGUGAUUGUGUGUUCCCCAGAGGAAGAACCCAUGCUUGUGUGUUCCUCAGAGGAAGAACCCAUGCUUGUGAGUUUCUCAGAAAAAACUUCAGAGUCUGAGUUUUCUCCACAGGAAGCACUCAUACUUGAGUCUUCCCCUCAGGGAGCAUCUUCCCCUCAUCAAAAACCCUUGCCUGAUGGCUUCCCUCUUGAAGCUUCCAUACCCAAGUUAGUCAGUCUGGCAAUAUCUUCACUCGUUUCUUCCAUAUGGAAGCGCCAGAAGCAUAAGUCUCAACCUUCCUUGAGACAGAGAACACUUUUACCUGCCAGGUCCUCACAGAAAUCACCUGUACCAGAGAGUUCUUCACAAGAUGCGGCCAUGCCUAAGUGUUCCCCUGAGGAAGCAUCCAUGACCACCGGGACCCCACAAAACUUGUCUUGUGACCAUCUUGACAAAGCUACAGUGGAGGCAACAGAACCCUGCAGGUCCCCAUAUAAUAAGGCAAGGAUGUCACAGGGAGUCUCCGAACCUGCCAAGGGUCAAAAAGAAGCAUCCAUGUCUGAGUGUUCCCCAGAGGAAGAAGAACCCAUGCUUGUGUGUUCCAUAGAGGAAG